rnacentral:rRNA from 1 species
UGUGAUUCCGCUAGUAGUGGCGAGCGAACGUGGAUGUUGGCUAAACCAUGCGCGUGUGAGACUCGGCAGGGGUUGCGUGUGUGGGGUUGUGGGAUGCGGUUGUUGCAAGUGCUGCCGUGCUUGUGGUGUGGUGCGUUGUGUUAGGGGAAGUGGCUUGGAAUGGUCUGCCGGAGUGGGUGAGAGUCCCGUACCUGAAAAUGUGGCGUGUUGUGCUUGAUCGUAUUCCCGAGUAGCAGUGGGCUCGUGGAAUCUGCUGUGAAUCUGCCGGGACCACCCGGUAAGCCUGAAUACUCAGUGUGACCGAUAGCGGAGAAGUACCGUGAGGGAAUGGUGAAAAGUACCCCGGGAGGGGAGUGAAAGAGUACCUGAAACCGUGUGCCUACAAGCCGUCAGAGCAUGGUCUGCCUUUGGUGGUGGGGUGUGUGAUGGCGUGCCUUUUGAAGAAUGAGCCUGCGAGUCAGCGGCAUGUCGCGAGGUUAACACGUAUGGUGUGGUAGCCGUAGCGAAAGCGAAUCCUAAGAGGGUGUAGUGAGUGGCAUGUUCUGGACCCGAAGCGGAGUGAUCUACCCAUGGCCAGUGUGAAGCAGCGGUAAGACGCUGUGGAGGCGCGAACCCACUUAGGUUGAAAACUGAGGGGAUGAGUUGUGGGUAGGGGUGAAAGGCCAAUCAAACUCCGUGAUAGCUGGUUCUCCCCGAAAUGCAUUUAGGUGCAGCGUUGCGUGUUUCUUGCUGGAGGUAGAGCGACUGGAUGGUUGAUGCGGGACUAUCAUCUUAGCGAUGCCAGCCAAACUCCGAAUGCCGGCAAGGUGAGAGCGUAGCAGUGAGACUGCGGGGGAUAAGCUUCGUAGUCGAGAGGGAAACAGCCCAGAUCGCCGGCUAAGGCCCCGAAGCGUGUACUAAGUGGAAAAGGAUGUGGGAUCGCGAAGACAGCCAGGAGGUUGGCUUAGAAGCAGCCAUCCUUGAAAGAGUGCGUAAUAGCUCACUGGUCGAGUGGUUCUGCGCCGACAAUUCAGUGGGGCUCAAGUACACCGCCGAAGCCGCGGCACCGGCCCUUGUUGGGGUUGGUGGGUAGGGGAGCGUCGUGUUUGCGUGGAAGCUGCCGAGUGAUCGUGUGGUGGAGUGGAUGCGAGUGAGAAUGCAGGCAUGAGUAGCGAAUGACGAGUGGGAAACUCGUCCGCCGGAUGACCAAGGGUUCCUGGGUCAAGUUCAUCUUCCCAGGGUGAGUCGGGACCUAAGGCGAGGCCGACAGGCGUAGUCGAUGGAUAACGGGUUGAUAUUCCCGUACCCGCAUGUGUGCGCCCAUGGUGAAUCAGUGAUACUAACCACCCGGCCUAGGUUAUGUGUGCUGCCAGCUUUUGUGGUUGGUGGUGUGUGUGGCUUGUGGUUGCGUGGGAUCUGAGCUGGUAGUAGCCAAGCGAUGGGGUGACGCAGGAAGGUAGUCAAGCCACUGAUUGGAUUGUGGUGUAAGCGUGUAGCCCGUGUGGUAGGCAAAUCCGCCACACAGGUAUGGGUGAGACGUGAUGCGUACCCAACUUGUUGGGGAUGUUGAUGAUCCUCUGCUGCCGAGAAAAGCCUCUAGUGAGUGCAUGUGCGGCCCGUACCCCAAACCGACACAGGUGGUCAGGUAGAGAAUACUAAGGCGAUCGGGAGAACUGUGGUUAAGGAACUCGGCAAAAUGCCCCCGUAACUUCGGGAGAAGGGGGGCCUGGUUGGGUGGCCCACCCUUGGCGGUGGGUGCGCGUGGCCAGGCCGCAGAGAAUAGAGGGAAGCGACUGUUUACUAAAAACACAGGUCCGUGCGAAGACGAUAAGUCGAGGUAUACGGACUGACGCCUGCCCGGUGCUGGAAGGUUAAGAGGACCCGUGAGCGUCAAGCGAAGCGGAGAAUUUAAGCCCCAGUAAACGGCGGUGGUAACUAUAACCAUCCUAAGGUAGCGAAAUUCCUUGUCGGGUAAGUUCCGACCUGCACGAAUGGCGUAACGACUUCCCUGCUGUCUCAACCACAGACCCGGCGAAAUUGCACUACGAGUAAAGAUGCUCGUUACGCGCGGCAGGACGAAAAGACCCCGGGACCUUCACUAUAGCUUGGUAUUGAUAUUCGAUACGGUUUGUGUAGGAUAGGUGGGAGACUGUGAACACGCCACGCCAGUGGUGUGGGAGUCGCAAGUUGAAAUACCACUCUGAUCGUAUUGGGUAUCUUCAACCUCGGCCCGUGAUCCGGGUCAGGGACAGUGCCUGGUGGGUAGUUUAACUGGGGCGGUUGCCUCCCAAAGAGUAACGGAGGCGCCCAAAGGUUUCCUCAGCCUGGUUGGCAAUCAGGUGGCAGAGUGUAAGUGCACAAGGAAGCUUCACUGCGAGACUGACACGUCAAGCAGAUACGAAAGUAGGGACUAGUGAUCCGGCACCGGCUUGUGGAAGCGGUGUCGCUCAACGGAUAAAAGGUACCCCGGGGAUAACAGGCUGAUCUUCCCCAAGAGUCCAUAUCGACGGGAUGGUUUGGCACCUCGAUGUCGGCUCGUCGCAUCCUGGGGCUGGAGUAGGUCCCAAGGGUUGGGCUGUUCGCCCAUUAAAGCGGCACGCGAGCUGGGUUUAGAACGUCGUGAGACAGUUCGGUCUCUAUCCGCCGCGCGCGCAGAAACGUGCGGAACGCUGUCCCUAGUACGAGAGGACCGGGACGGACGUACCUCUAGUGCGCCAGUUGUCACGCCCGUGGCACGGCUGGUUAGCUACGUACGGACGGGAUAACCGCUGAAAGCAUCUAAGCGGGAAGCCCCUUCCAAGAUAACGUUUCAUCAACCAGGUGCCCCACAGAACAUGGGGUCGAUAGGCCGGAAUUGCACGCACCGCAAGGUGCUCAGAUGACCGGUACUAAUCCACCGAACACCAACAAC